AGUGAACGCUGGCGGUAGGCCUAACACAUGCAAGUCGAACGGCAGCACAGUAAGAGCUUGCUCUUACGGGUGGCGAGUGGCGGACGGGUGAGGAAUACAUCGGAAUCUACUUUUUCGGGGGGGAUAACGUAGGGAAACUUACGCUAAUACCGCAUACGACCUACGGGUGAAAGCAUGGGAUCUUCGGACCUUGCGCGAUUGAAUGAGCCGAUGUCGGAUUAGCUAGUUGGCGGGGUAAAGGCCCACCAAGGCGACGAUCCGUAGCUGGUCUGAGAGGAUGAUCAGCCACACUGGAACUGAGACACGGUCAAGACUCCUACGGGAGGCAGCAGUGGGGAAUAUUGGACAAUGGGCGCAAGCCUGAUCCAGCCAUACCGCGUGGGUGAAGAAGGCCUUCGGGUUGUAAAGCCCUUUUGUUGGGAAAGAAAAGCAGCAGGUUAAUACCCCGCUGUUCUGACGGUACCCAAAGAAUAAGCACCGGCUAACUUCGUG
rnacentral:rRNA from 1 species